CCGGGGCUAGAUGCUGGCACUCCUCUGACCAAUAGCAGGGCCCGGUGGUGAUGUCAUGGGGUAGGAGAGGGUCUGUGCUGAUGCUGCCGCUAGUUCUGUAUCCAAGGAGCAAGACAGAGAGAGAGACAGUCUGAUAACCCGGACCUACCCCACCACCCCCAUCCACCGUCAUCAACUCAGCCCCUGCUCCGGAGGAGGGGAAGAAAGAAUAAGCCUCUCCUGAACACAACACAGAAACCACAUCAAGGAGGAACAGCAUUGAGCAGAAUUGACCUGAGCUCAACACAGUGAAAUCAUGACCCUAGCAGCGUACAGACGAGAAGGUAGAAAGGAGCUCGCCC